GCGUCAAUGGUGAAAUGGGUUAGAGCACGCGCCCCGGACAAAGUGAGAUGCAGGUUCGAGUCCUGCCUGACGCG